UCCAGUGUAUGUUUUCGGCACAUAGUGGUGAAGUUAAUAGAGGAGUUGAAGGUCCACUUGUGUUGGUUGUUGUUGUUGAUUAGUUUUUUAAUUACCAGUUGUGUUGGUUGUUGUUGUUGUUUAGUUAAUGUGGUCUUACUUUGUAACCAUAACCCUUUGAUUAACAAAUGUAUUUCAUAAAUGUUUGUUCCCAAAAGACAUUAGAAAUACACAAUGGUUU
rnacentral:lncRNA from 1 species